CCAACACCAACAAACUAAAGAUCCCAAUAGCUUGUUCCUCUAUCUCAUUUUCAAUAACAAACUAAACCUAACCAGCAGCUCUAGUGAACCAGAACCAAGUGACCCACUUAUCUCUUCAACGUAAACAUUGCAAUAUCCCACCAAAUUUGCCUGCUGCUCACCUCUCACAUCCGGUCACAAACUCUUCUCCUUUCUCACACUCCAUCUCUGAAGCAGCAGGCUCCAUGUGCGAUUUCAGUAGAUUUCAUGUCUUUUGGUUAUCAAAAUCUUCUUUCAAGUUCUCGGCUAAGCAAAAACUACUUCAAGCGGAUUCAAAGACUCGACGACGACAAUAGCCUCAGUUCGCUAUCCCCAAGAAGGUAAUCACACUCGUCUUCUCUUCGUCUUUAAUUUCUUAGAAGUAAAAUGUAGUCGUUGAGUUGUUUUUUCGUUUGUAUCAUCUCGACCUAUUUAAAUCUGUUUGUUGCUCCGUGUGCUCUGAAUAUGUGACGAAAUGGUUAAUACAAGCUAUUACACUUAAAAAGAAUGACAAUUUAGCUUGAAGAACAUGUGAACAGUGAUGUUGUCUUGCUCUAAAUUAGUUUUUCUUUAAUCUUGAGGGGCUGCUUCAUCCUCUUUCUUGUUGAAAUUAGUAUAUAAAGAUCGCUACGCAAGUUGCAACUUAUAAAAGAUCAAUUCACCAUUCCUUUAGAAGGAAACUAGUAUUUGAAUCAUUAUUUUGCGCGAAUUUUGAAGUUUUAUAACAACGGAUAGUAAAAGGAGUUAGGAAGUAAUGGGCUACUAAGAUCGUGUCAAAUCCUCUUCAUGUUAAGCAUGUAAUAUUUAAGUUCAUCCUAAGUUUUAAGUAAGUUUAUUUAAUCUGGAAGUUUUGUUCUCAUUGUUUAAGAAUUAAGGCUACAGGAUUUGGAAAGGUUUGAGUGAACUUAGCCAUCUCCAUAGAUACAUAAUCAGUUUGUUUUGGUUUUUGUGCAUCUUGUAUCUUGGCAUACUGUUUGCAAACUUAAGCUUUAAGACUUAACAUGAAGUCUAAACUGACUCUUCUUGUAUUCACAUUUGCUUUCCUCUCUGCUGGGAGAAUGUUGUAGUAUUUGUUCGAUGGUAAUCUGUUAAAAAGGAAAGGAGACGUGAUUCAGUUCAAAAUUUUGUGCGUAUAUGUCAUCUCUUUCUUUUACCAUGUCCUUGAGACCUUCCUAACUUAAGAUGACUCUUGUUUGUCGAUUUUUUGAAGUUUUCCAUAGUUAAUUAAAUACGCUUUAUACGUUAGAAAGCUACAUUUGUUCCGGAAAAGAAAGUUACUGUUUUUUUAUAUAAAAAAAGCUACUGUUUUUAACUAAAAAGCUACUGUUUUCUGGUUAAAAAGUUACUAUUUUGGUUGGAGAAAAAAGAGUUACUGUUUUGAUUAGGGAAAAGUUACUUGUCUUGAUUAAAGGAAAAUUUACCGAUUCGUGAAAAUUAAAUUCAUCAAAUAUGUGUUUAACUUAGUCGCUUAGCUAAUUUUCUGUUUUAGUUAUUUGUUAAAAUCUGGGAUGUUCCUACAUUUAGCGUAAAUCACUAUGACUGAUAGAAGCUAUGAAUUUAAGAAAAAGAGGAAAUCCACCGACUUGUGAGAAUAUGAUAUGAGCUUAUAUGUACAUUUAGUAUUUGUUUGUUUUCUCGUAUGUGUGAAUAAAUGUCUAACGAGUUCUGCUUCAUUUCUCCAAGUAUUUUUUAUGUAUCAUGUUAAAAUGACGAGGGAAGAAGUGUUGUAUAUUCCUAUCUUUUCUAUUUUUAGUUGAGAUCCUUGAAUUAGUUUAGUAAUGUAUUUGCAGAAUCUAAAAACCUGUUUUUUAGUUUAAAUAUGCAUGUGAACCUUUCCUUUUGGGUUAUCAAAUUGAUUAAAACUGAGUAUAGCUAAUAAAGGUCCAGUUUGUUUGGUAAAAGGGGAUAAAAAGAAUAAUAAAGAAGCUGUGGUUUAUUCUUUUGGUGUGAAAAUAUACCAAUAAGGUUCUCUGCCCAACUUGUUUUUGUUUUGGCAAAUACGUACUUAUAAUUUUUGGGUUUUAGAACUUGGAGCCACAAAUGCUUUAAGAACUUGAAAGGAUCUCUUUUCCUUCUCUGACGGUGUUGUUUCUUUUUGUACUGGUUUGCUAAUGGGAUGAUAAGUGUGUUGGCUUUUCUGAUCACUCAUAUAGCAUCAUGGAAGUAUUAGAGAUUUGGGAAGCCGAACAUAAUUUAUUUUGAACCUAUUUUGAAGUGCCAUAGCCUAGCAUAACAAUUAACUCUCAUUUAUUCACUGAAGUGUUUGGUUUGGUAAGAAUUGUUUGAACUCAUUUGGUUGCCUAUAAUGGUUCUGUAAGUAAGAGACGUACUACACAUAAAGGUGUGAAAAUUGUUGAGCUUUUAAAUACUGUAGAGCUUAGGUUCGUCGCGUAAUGCGCAUAAGUUAGAUCAUGGCGUGUUUGCUUUAUUUUGAGACAUUUACUUAAGUCGGGUUGAUCUCUUUCCAAAGUUGGCUGAAUAUUUGGUGCUAAAUCUAGUAAAAUAUUUGUUCUUGAUGGCAUGUUUUACUCAUUAGAUUUCGGCGUUAUUAAGAUCAAUUAAGGGCAUCACUAAUCCUUAUCUUUAUCCUUUUUUCUAUGAGGAACCUUGGGAGCAUUAGGAGUUAUGGCAAUUCCGGAUUCUACCCAUAUCAGAGAGCAGCCAGCAGCAGAUUUAUUUGCUCGUGUCUAGCCGUCCCCUACUUUCGCGUCUCAAGUCUCCGUUCUUCCUUUAUUCAAAAUUUUAAGCCUUCAUAUUGGUUCAUAUAUACUGUUUAUAAUAUUUGACUAACAUUCUUGUGAAUUUGUAUUUUUGUAGUUUUGUUGUGAACUCGUAACUUGACUUAAGUAUGUUAGAUGCAAGAAAAUCGGGAUUUAAAAAAAAAAACGAAA